AACUAAUGAGCUUGAACAAGCGUAUAUUUUGAAAAUAUAUGAAAGAAAAGUCUAUUUCUAUUAGUUU
rnacentral:tRNA from 1 species